rnacentral:rRNA from 1 species
AACGAACGCUGGCGGCGCGUCUUAAACAUGCAAGUCGAACGAUCUGUAGCAAUACAGGGAGUGGCGGACGGGUGAGGAACACGUAGGAAUCUACCUUGAAGAGCGGGACAACUUUGGGAAACCGGGGCUAAUACCGCAUAGUACAGAGAUGUUAAAGGGCUAGCAAUAGUCGCUUCGAGAUGAGCCUGCGGUCUAUCAGCUUGUUGGUGAGGUAAUGGCUCACCAAGGCUACGACGGAUAGCCGGUCUGAGAGGAUGAUCGGCCACACUGGCACUGAGACACGGGCCAGACUCCUACGGGAGGCAGCAGUUAAGAAUCUUGCGCAAUGGGGGCAACCCUGACGCAGCGACGCCGCGUGAAGGAUGAAGGCUUUCGGGUUGUAAACUUCGGUAGACUGGGAAGAAGAACUACGUUCGUUGAGGGCGUAGAGUGACGGUACCAGUCUGAAGCCCCGGCUAAUUACGUGCCAGCAGCCGCGGUAAU